AAAUAGACAGAGGCAUGACAUUUAUUGAAGCUCCAAGGUCACACAUGGCCUUCUUUAUUCCCACAUUGCCUAUUUUGCAUGAAACCGCAAACAUUCCUCUAUCCUUGCAUUUGACUGGUAGUUUUCUUUGGAUGACAGCUGAAACACACUCCCCCACACUUACCUUUCCACGUUCAGCAAGUUUCCUUCGGUUUGUGCAUAGUUCUUUGAGAAAUUUGGCAUACCUUGGAAUUUGCUUCACAGCAUCAAGUAGAGGAAUGUUAAUUUCCACUUUGCGAAGUGUCUCC
rnacentral:lncRNA from 1 species